UUCUGUCACACUACAUAAGUGGCUACAAGCAAAAAAUAUUAAAGUAGCAUUGAGGAGAGUGUAAUAUUAAUGUAACAGGUGCAAUCAAUCUUCCAUUUUAUUUAAGGUCUUUGUGAACCUGCUGAUACAAUUUGGGCUGGCUCUUUUAGGUGAAAUGGGGGCAGGUGGCACGGGAAACAACUGUUAUUUAGGUGAAGUAAUUAUUUGGUGGUGAUGGGAGAGAAGAUAAAGUUCAGUAGAGCUCCUUUCUGAGAACUGCUGCUGGGCAGUGGCUGUGAAGGCUUUUGAAGUAUAGAUGCUGGUGUUCUCAACAAUUCAAAUAAAAUUGUGGGAAAAAAACAGUGUAUGGAAGAGUCAACCAAAGACUGACUGACUUCAGCUCAAACAAGUUCUGUCUCUCACCCUCAAAGGAAGGAACAGUCUGCACAACAUAAGUAUCCAGAAGUCUGCAAAAGCAAACAUGCCCAUCAGCUGCUGGGUGAAUUCUGUGAGACUUCCUGAUUGGUUCCCGACUUUUGGAGGAUAAAUCUACACUGAAUUGUAACUGAUUUUCCUCCAGAAAGCGUGUUGAUUCAUACAGCAAAAUCCUUCUGGAGCACCGGCUUGUGUCCUAGAUUUCCCAUUCUGAUGAUGAUACAAGUGACAUUGCCAUUCACAUUCAAAGCAGAAACAUAAUUAGGCUGAUAAACAGAGCUGCAUUAUAAACACUUCUUCUGAUGGAAAAGGAUUUGUUUCUACUAAGGCUGAUGCCUCCAUCAUCUUAGUAUUUAAAAAAAAAAAAAAAAAAUUAAAAUGUUCUCAGUUAAUCCUGAACGUUUUCAAGAUGAAAGUCAGAAAGAUGGAUGAGCACAGAAAAACCACCAUAAUAUGUGAGCUUACUUUUUCCGUACUUCAAAAUGGAAAUUCAUCCUUGUCCUGAAUAUCUGGAGGUGACCACAAAAGAGAAGAAAGAUAUUAUAACUAUAUAACAUGCUCUCAGUGAUACCAUAAAGCUUGGUGAUCAAUACCUCCAUGUUGAAAAAAGCUGAAUGAAGACAUGAGAUACCAGAAUUAUUUCAGGACAAGAGUAGAAAGGUCAUUUCCCAAUCAGAGGCAUUGAUUUGCUUUACGAAUUUGAAGAAGGAUUUGAAGAAAUUCAAGAGGGAUCUGAUAGAGACAAUCUGUCCAUCUCUCAAUGUGAUCCACUCACGUAGAAGCAGGCUACCAUGGAACAAAAAACAAUUUUCAGAAGACAAUCGGUACUUCAUGAACUUAGACCAAAGGGUUUGUGCUUUAACCCACAUGAAAGAUGACUUGGUCAGCCUGUUCCCAUAGCUUGGGCAGCAGUGUGGUUCUGAAACAUCUGUCCUGUGCCAAAGUGGUCUGCUCAUACACAUGUAAGUAAACUCAUUGAUUCUUGUGUACUGCAAUAUCUAUAGGCAGUGCUUUUUUUGUAGUUUGGAUGAGAGUUGAGAAGGUCCAGGAAAAUGGUGAAAAUAUUUAAGCUUUGUUUUCUUAAGACACUGUAAGACAGAAAAAGUCACGACUCCAAGCAAGCAGGAGUUAUUAAACAAAACUUAUCUAGAAGUUUACAUUUACAUAUAGGUAAAUGCAAUCCUGCCUAUAAAUCCACAGAAAUGACCUUCUAAAAGGAAAACUCCCGAGUUUCAUAGGGCGUAGUUUUAGUAUUCUUCUGGAAAACAAACAAACAGCAACAACAAAAAAACAACAGCAAACAUCAGUAGCCUAGACAGAGAAAAGCAGUGGCAAGAGAAUGGCUUCUUGGAGGAGCGAGCUAGGAAGGUACAUCCCUCAGUCAGAGCCUGGCCUUUAAGAGUUGCUACUUGCUGUCCCCAGCCAAGAAUUUCCUGGGAAAAUUUGUUUAUCAGUUUAUCAUUUGAGACAUGGGCCUGCAGAUCUUGCUAUAGAGAGAAAACUCCUAUACAUUUUGCUUUGACCAUGUUGGACAAGGACAAAGAGUAUCAUGGAAUUUCUUGCAGGCCUGGUCACUAGCACAGUCAUUACAUAUCAUUUAGCCUUCAUGUUUUCAGAACAGCCCCUUUCUGCCCCUCUCCUUCAACAUGGGUUAUUGCUGUCAUUGAUAUUCCCUGCCCUGGCUCAUCAUUAAGCCUAGAGCCAGCAGAGUCAGGUUUACUUUGCUGCUAAGUUUUUCAGAAAAAUGCCUAAGACCAGUAUUAAGCCUGAAACAACUCACUUUAAAGCAGUGGUUGGCAUACCCUGAUCAGAAACCCUGCCUCUGCUGCUUGUUACUGUGCCUUUACAUCACAAACACCACAGGUGUGCAAAAUGCAAACCACAGAGGAGGUCAGGGCACUGCAGAUGAGUGUCAAAGUUGCCUGUGAGUAUGAGAAGAAAAGGCAGUGAUGCUGAUGACGGAGGCAGCAGUUGGCUGUCGAGCCUCGGUCUCUGGCACAUUACACAAACUGCACUUUGUGUCACAUUCCUUGCGUGCACCUGCCAAUUCUGUAAAGCACAGAAUUUGCUGAGGGCAAGUUUCAGAUGGUCUCUUACUGUUUUGUGAUUAUUUGUUUUUUUUAGAAAAGAAAGUCAUUAUUUUUCUUUGCAAGGCUGUAAAAAUAAGAAAUAGAUGAGGAGGAUGGAAAGUAACUAUUGAAGUAAAAAAUAAAAUAUACGUUAAUUGGUACCUUUUAUUCAACUGUGUUGUAAUACUUUGGUAUAAGGUUGUCCCUGGGGUUCAAAAAUGAAGGUGCCCUUCAUGUAUAGGAUAAAGCUAUCCUUGGCUAUCACUGUUUACUUAGCCCUUAAGUAAAAAAAUGUUGAAGAAGAAAUGAGCAGGAGUCAGUGAUCUUUAGCAGAGUAGAAUGAUCAGUCCUGAAUUAUGUGGCUUAGGCAUGGACAUACAUGAUCAGUGUUUCAACUGAGUGAGGGGAAAAAAAAUCUAACUUGGUCUAAAAGGCAAAAGAGAAGCAGUAGGAUAUACAGCAAAGGAAUAUUUCAACCAACUGGUGUAAAACAGCGUUGGUGGCAAAAGUGAAUGCAGAACAGGAUUCUGCAAAAAAAUAACUGGUAAAACAAAGGAUGUACACUUACUAGCAGUAUCUGAAAAGAAAUAGUAUGUGAUGAUGGUCUAUUUCUUGCAGCUUUGAAUGAAAUACCUUUAGUUCCUACACUGUCCAGGUCCCUGGAAUGGAACUGUUGCCAGAUGUGUGUGGCACUUUGCAUUUAGAGGUGUAAAACAUUUCACAGCAUCUUUAGGACUCUGCCGUAGAAAAGCACCUCAUUGCAGCAAUUCCAUUCAUUUACAUGAGCAUGAGAUCAGCCAGUCAGAGCUUAGGGAAAUUUGGUUCAGAAACUGAGCUGUGUUGUAUUACUGUUACGGUUUUGAAAACCAUUCAAAUGGGUUUGGAAUGCUUUGCUGUUUAUCAGUCUGGGCCGUAAUUUAUUGUACAAACAUUCCUGUCUUUAAAUCCAUAAAUUAAUCUCUUUUUUUUUUUCCUGAGAGACUUGAUAUCAGAGAGAUAAAGAGUUAAAAAAAACUACAUUAACAUUUUUGACAGUAUGUAAAACUCUGAAUCAUCUAAAAAUUCUCCUCAGAUUCAGUUCCAGAUUCAGCCUUAGAAGACCUCAGACAGUAACUUUUAAUGGAAACACUGCAAAACUUAGUAGUCCCUCUGUUUUAUAUUUAAAAAUACAAACACAUAGGAAAAAAAAAUAUACAUAUAUAUAACUUUAGGUUUAUAUAGUAAUAUGAGGAAGUAAAUAAAGAAUAAGCAUGAGAAAUGUCUCUGAAAGAAAAGUCUGAGUAUCCCUCCUUUUAGGAAGCCACAGUUUAACUGAAUAUUUAUCAGGCUGCCUCCAGCUAAAGUAUGCUGUUACUGUACAUGGGAUGAAAUAAAGCAAAAGAAAAACAAAACCCCUGUGACUUACAACAUUUACAUAUGCAGGGAUUCCCCUUUCUUCUAGUUGUGUUAUUUUUAGUUGUCCUGUUGAAAUAAUGCUCCUUGUUUUCUUUGAAUUUCAGUUGAAGUAAGAAACUGAAAGCAAGCUAAGACUUAGAGAAAGCACCACAUCUAAACUGUAUUUAGUGGUUAGUGUUAAGAAAGAUAAUUGUGGACAUAACAAGAAGAUAUUGAUGCUUAUGUUUGAGCCCUUGUCCAACAUGCCCCAGGACUACAUUUCCUGCUUAAAUUAAUAUCAGAAACAGAAUAAUUAUUUAAUAGUAUUUAGAAAUUAAGCUAAAGUUAUUUCAUGGAUUUGGCUGGUUUAAAGUUAAUACUAUUUCAAGAACAUGAUUGUUCUCUUAUUUAAAUGUAAUUUUGACUGCUGGGUAAGCUAAGACAAUAAAUACAUCAUUUUACAUCACAGCUCUUUAUUUUUAAACCCCCUCCCUUAUUCUUCAGAAGACAAAAACUAUAGGAGUUUAAUCUCAGAUGUUUCUGCUUUUGCAUCAGCUGAAAGGCACAAAACAUUAUGGAAAACCUCAUCAUCCUCUCUGUAGACCUUGUAUUCUUUGCAGACCCUGAUAAACAGCUGGUGGGGGUUUUCCCUGAGUUGGUCCAGGACAGGUUUUGGAAAUGUGGUUGUUUUCACAGCAAGGUGCUGGGCUGUUUCUAGAUUUACUAGGUUGAGUCUGUGUCUGGGGGAGGUGUUAACCUCUGUAUUAUCUCCUGUGUCUAACUGAUGCUUCUGCACUGCUUCUUAACACUCCUGAAGCCAGAUAGGCGGCUGGGAUGUUCCUUACCUGCUCCACAACAUGCACCUUGCCACAUGUACCCCUGUAAGGCCAUGCAGCUUCCUAUGGCUCAGCAUGAGGGAUCUUUAGCCCCAGCGCAUUGCUCACAGCAGCCUGCCAUCCACCUCUCAUCUGGCUCAGUAUAGCCUGUAAGUACCCUGACUUCUUAUUCUCAGAGAUUUUCUCCAAGAUGUGAACAUCUCGAAUGCAAUAUUUGAUCCUUAAUACUGUAUCUUCACUGUUUUUACCUAUUUGGCUGUGUUUUUAAAACACUAGGCUAUUUUGGGAACUUGUAAGAAAUACAUAAAGGUGUUUUGGUAAUUUAAUUUACUUUUUCACUGCCUGGUGAGCUGCUUGUAGUGAGAACGGAAGCAGAGAAGAUUGUUAGUGCACCGUGCCUUCAGCUAUCCCAGAACUAAGUCAGAAGCUCUUCCAUGUAGCCAGUGGGAGGGUUACAUUUAAAACCUAUGAAGACAACCCUGAAAAGACUAGAUUAGUUCUGAUGUGUUAUUUCAUCCUUUACUCAUUAUACAAGCAGCAGAUGGUUCAUCAUGUUAUAUUUUAUUGACCUACAGGAAGUGAUGGAA